CUACGGGAGGCUCCAGUGAGGAAUAUCGCACAAUGGGGGGAACCCUGAUGCAGCAACGCCGCGUGGAGGAUGACGCAUUUCGGUGUGUAAACUCCUUUUAUAUGUCAAGAAAAUGACGGUAGCAUAUGAAUAAGCACCGGCUAACUCCGUGCCAGCAGCCGCGGUAAUACGGAGGGUGCAAGCGUUACUCGGAAUCACUGGGCGUAAAGGACGCGUAGGCGGGUUGGAAAGUCAGGUGUGAAAUCCUACAGCUUAACUGUAGAACUGCACUUGAAACUUCUAAUCUAGAGUAUGGGAGGGGGAGAUGGAAUUAGUGGUGUAGGGGUAAAAUCCGUAGAUAUCACUAGGAAUACCUAAAGCGAAGGCGAUCUCCUGGAACAUUACUGACGCUAAGGCGUGAAAGCGUGGGGAGCAAACAGGAUUAGAUACCCGGGAGUC
rnacentral:rRNA from 1 species